AUUGAACGCUGGCGGCAUGCCUUACACAUGCGAGUCGAACGGUAACGGGUCCUUCGGGAUGCCGACGAGUGGCGAACGGGUGAGUAAUAUAUCGGAACGUGCCCAGUAGUGGGGGAUAACUGCUCGAAAGAGCAGCUAAUACCGCAUACGACCUGAGGGGGAAAGGGGGGGAUCGCAAGACCUCUCGCUAUUGGAGCGGCCGAGAUCAGAUUAGCUAGUUGGUGGGGUAAAGGACUACCAAGGCAACGAUCUGUAGUUGGUCUGAGAGGACGACCAGCCACACUGGGACUGAGACACGGCCCAGACUCCUACGGGAGGAAGCAGGGGGGAAUUUUGGACAAUGGGCGCAAGCCUGAUCCAGCAAUGCCGCGUGCAGGAAGAAGGCCUUCGGGUUGUAAACUGCUUUUGUCAGGGAAGAAAUCUCCUGGGUUAAUACCUCGGGGGAUGACGGUACCUGAAGAAUAAGCACCGGCUAACUACGUGCCAGCCGCCGCAGUAAAAC
rnacentral:rRNA from 1 species